rnacentral:other from 1 species
GUUAUGCUUCUACGUUGGUGACUGCCGACAUAGUUUAUCGAUCUAUGCUUGAUUUACGAGGGAAUUUGCUAGAGUUCUUUGAAAGUAGACCGCAGCUUGUACUCGGAAACGGACAUUGGACUCGUAAAUACCCACCUGGUUCUGCCAGGUCGUAAACUACGGUAAGACGGCGUAGCGGUUAACUA